rnacentral:rRNA from 1 species
AUUGAACGCUGGCGGCAGGCUUAACACAUGCAAGUCGAGCGGGCGAGGUUGCUUCGGUAACUGAGCUAGCGGCGGACGGGUGAGUAAUGCUUAGGAAUCUGCCUAUUAGUGGGGGACAACAUUCCGAAAGGGAUGCUAAUACCGCAUACGUCCUACGGGAGAAAGCAGGGGCUCUUUAUGACCUUGCGCUAAUAGAUGAGCCUAAGUCGGAUUAGCUAGUUGGUGGGGUAAAGGCCUACCAAGGCGACGACCUGUAGCGGGUCUGAGAGGAUGAUCCGCCACACUGGGACUGAGACACAGCACAGACUCCUACGGGAGGCAGCAGUGGGGAAGAUUGGACAAUGGGGGGAACACUGAUCCAGCCAUGGCGCGUGUGUGAAGAAGGCCUUUUGGUUGUAAAGCACUUUAAGCGAGGAGGAGGCUUACCUGGUUAAUACCUAGGAUAAGUGGACGUUACUCGCAGAAUAAGCACCGGCUAACUCUGUGCCAGCAGCCGCGGUAAGAC